UCGAGGAUCUUCGGCAAUGGGCGCAAGCCUGACCGAGCGACGCCGCGUGCGGGAUGAAGGCCUUCGGGUUGUAAACCGCUGUCAGAGGGGAUGAAAUCACAGUGGGUACUCCCAUUGUGUUGACAGAGCCUCAGAGGAAGCGCGGGCUAAGUUCGUGCCAGCAGCCGCGGUAAUACGAACUGCGCGAACGUUAUUCGGAAUCACUGGGCUUACAGGGUGCGUAGGCGGCGGAGAAAGUAGGGUGUGAAAUGCCUUGGCUCAACCAAGGCACAGCGCUCUAAACUACUUCGCUGGAGUGAGUCAGGGGUGCGCGGAACUUCCGGUGGAGCGGUGAAAUGUGUUGAUAUCGGAAGGAACACCGGUGGCGAAAGCGGCGCACUGGGGCUUAACUGACGCUGAGGCACGAAAGCCAGGGUAGCGAACG
rnacentral:rRNA from 1 species